UACGUAGGUGGCAAGCGUUGUCCGGAUUUACUGGGCGUAAAGAGCGCGCAGGCGGUCGUUCAAGUCGCGUGUGAAAGCCCCCGGCUCAACUGGGGAGGGUCACGCGAUACUGAUCGACUCGAAGGCAGGAGAGGGUAGUGGAAUUCCCGGUGUAGUGGUGAAAUGCGUAGAUAUCGGGAGGAACACCGGUGGCGAAGGCGGUUCUCUGGGCCUGUACUGACGCUGAGGAGCGAAAGCGUGGGGAGCGAACAGG
rnacentral:rRNA from 1 species